GACGAACCGUGCGAACGUUAUUCGGAAUCACUGGGCUUAAAGCGCGUGUAGGCGGGAGGGCACGUCCGUCGCUGAAAUCCCCCGGCUCAACCGGGGAACGGGCGCGGAUACGACCUUCCUGGAGGGGCGUAGGGGGACCUGGAACUUCCGGUGGAGCGGUGAAAUGCGUUGAGAUCGUGAGGAACGCCCGUGGCGAAAGCGGGCGCCUGGACCCCACCUGACGCUGAGACGCGAAAGCCAGGGGAGCGAACGGG
rnacentral:rRNA from 1 species